ACAAGACACACACAUGCACAGGCACACGCGCAUACACACUGUUUUGCCCUGCUUCCACGAUCGUUCAGCCUCGAAGUGAUACGCCAGCGUCCCGCUCCUUGUAUUAUUAUGGUGUGCGCUCGCCCUCAUUGAACGGUUCGGGCGUAUUAUCCUCUUGUGAUUACUGCUGCUUGCUCUUUGUUUUCGUAUCUUCUUGUUUUCCGUGCUGCGCCGCCAAGGCAUCCCCCGCUCGCCCGCCCCCUUCAGCGCUCGCUAUCACGCUGCAACGAGGCUCUGACGCAGAGCGUGUGCCUGUCUAGAGUGUACGCCUGCUCCUCUUUGAAUGCUCUGCCUCGGCUUUGUGCCCCUUCUUUUCUGCUAUUUCCCCGGCGUUCAUAACGCCACACCAGUCGGCGCUAAUCCCACACACCGGCACCGACAGACUCGCGUAGGUGCACCUAUAUCCCCACACCCACCCAGGCCCGCCGCCCCCCCCCUCCAUCGCGCUCUCGCGCUCCCUUUCCGUGAGACACGCGAGUACCUCGACCCCCUUUACGUUUCCCGUGCUCUUCCACUGCUCGGCGUUCAAGCCGGCUCAACAGUUGUCGGGUGAGGUUGCUCGGUGUUCUUUGUACGGGGCACACUUCUCCGUGUAUCACAGACACAGCUGUGCCACACAAACCCACACAACAGCUCGACCUCUCCGCACGCGCACGCACCGAGUCUCGCUGGCGCCCUCACUUUUCGCCAAUGCGCCGCACGCUGUUGGGGAUCGCGGUGACCUUUGCGUUGGUGUGUUGCGUUGUCGGCGCUGGCGCAGCGCAGGGGGACCCGGAGCGAGCCGACUCAGAGGAGCCGCGCUGCGGGUUUGACGAGUUGGAGGCGCGCAUGAUCGGCACCCGCGUGAGUGUGAUAAGCCGUGUAGAGCCGCCUACCGGGGAGCUUGCGGUUGCGGCUGCCGCAACGGGGGCCUGGCAGCCCAUCCGCAUUGCCGUCUUCACAGAGGACAUCUCGAACAGCAGCCAGCACUGCACCGCUUCGGGCCAGAGUCGGCCCACCUUCCGUGGCGGCAGGGUGACCUGCAGCGCAGCGGACGUUCUCACAAGAGAAAAGAAACGGGUGCUGCUGGAGCUGCUGAUUCCAUCCGCAGUACAGCUGCACCAAGAGCGGCUGAACGUGCAGCGGGAGAACGGCAACAUAGUUGUUAGCCCCUUUAUAAAGAAACACAGUAUCUGCGGUCAGUUCAGCAUACCCGAAGAACACAUGAAGACCGGUGUGCCGGACGCCGACUUUGUUCUGUACAUGUCUGCUGCGCCAACAUCUGGCAGUGUCAUCGCGUGGGCGGUGAAGUGUCAGAGCUUCGACAAUGGCCGCCCGUCUGUGGGCGUGGCGACCAUCUCACCCAAGUACAUCACCGCCGAGCCGAAGACCGUGCGCGUCGUCGCGCACGAGGUGUUGCAUGCACUCGGCUUCACGAGGUCAGUUUUCAAGCAACAGAACAUGCUGGUGAUGGCUUCUUUUCGAGGCAAGAGCCCCUCACCUGUCAUUCGCAGCGCAAACGUGGUUGCGCAGGCGCAGCUACAUUACGGCUGCAAAACGCAGGCUUCCAUGGAGCUGGAAGACGAGGGUGGAAAGGGAACCGUUUCGUCACACUGGAAGCGCCGCAGCGCCAAAGACGAGCUGAUGGCGGGCUUCAGCGGCGUCGGCGUCUACUCGGCGCUCACCAUCGCCGCCAUGGAGGACACGGGCUACUACCAGGGCAACUACGCCAAGGCGGAGCCGAUGGCGUACGGCCACGAAGUGGGCUGCAAACUGAGUUCCGAGCGGUGCGUCAUCAAAAGCACUUCACAGAUUCCUGCCAUGUUUUGCGAUGCCCCCGACGCUCCGUGGAGCUGCACCUCUGAUCGCCGAGGCAUCGGGCGGUGCAUCCUUACCUCUUACAAUUCCAACCUGCCCACCUAUUUUCAAUACUUCGGUGACCCGAGGUUGGGUGGCCCAGAUCCCCUGAUGGACUUCUGCCCGUUUGUGAGGGCUGCCGACGACACAAUGUGUGCCGCUAAAACGAACGCCCUGAAGGGCAGCGUGUAUGGCGUCAUGUCGCGCUGUGUCGACACACCGGCAGGCUUUUCCAUUGAUGACUCGGCGGUCCAGCAGCACGGCAUCUGUGCUGAGGUGCAGUGCGGCAGCUCCGCGUACGGCGUCAAAAUAAAUGGCGCGUCUGCGUUCCGGGAUUGUCCGCCUGGCAGCACCUACAACCUGUCGACAUUGAGCCCGUCCUUCUCUAAAGGGCAUUUGGUGUGCCCCUCUUAUGAGUCCGUGUGCGCCAUCAACAUAAACGCCUCGCUGUACGAAGAAUACAGUAGGCUUCUCACCGACCACAGCGUGACUGGUGCGCGGACAAGUGUGACGGCGGUGGUGGCAGUGCUUCUCGUGGUGCUUUUCAUGGGCUGAUCGCCCUGGUUCUCGUGCACAAGUGGCGGCAUUCACGCGCGUGUUUGUGUCUGUGUGUGGCGCUCGUGUCCCCGUCGGCAUGUGCGAACAACGGUGCUACGCGCCGUAGGGGCGUGUGUGCCACUGCCGCAUGCACUGUGCAGUGUGGGCAAAUGCGCGUGGCAGUGCGUCGGCCCUCCAUCUCUAUACACAUUCAUGUAACGGAAUAGUUUCACUUCUUUUCUGCAUAAUGCAGAUCUUCGCUUUCUCUCUUUCUCGUUUCGCACGCUCUUGCCUUUGCGGUGAGGGGGCACGGUUGCGGGCGCGGUGCCACGAGCACGGUGUGCCUGUGCAUGUGGGUGCUUGUGUGCUGCCCCUUCUCGCUGCUCCCUCCGCUUGCCCCUCCCCUCCGCCACGGCGUGCCUUUUGUCCUUCUCCUACCAUCUCCCCUCUCCCCCUCCUGCGUUGGCGUUGUUAUAUUUUUAGCGUUUUUUCGGAGCGUUUUAUGUUAUAUUUUGAAUGGUGGAGUGAAGCUUGCCGCGUAAGAGAAGCGUGCGGCUAUUCAGUGUUGCUCUGUUCUACUCCCCGCGCAACGGAUGAUAUACGGGAGGUUCAGUGACGUCAACGGUCGCUACCAACGCGCAGUAAGACAAGGAUGACGUGCGCUUCUUCACGGUGCUCUCAACGCAGACGCAGUAACAUCGGAGGAUGGCGCUGUACGACGUAUGGUGGUGCAAAAUCUGCGGUCACUCGCGCGUUUCGUGCGGUGCUGAUUUCAGCUAGUCUUCUCGACAUAUUUUCAUCAUAUCACAGAGCGGAGGGGUGCCAGCUUGUUGCAGCAGCACCGCCAGAGGAGCAGACGCAUCAGCAUGGAUCAGGGCCCUUGUUACCGGUCUCAGUCAUCACGCCGAGAUUCCUACUGUGCACAUGAAUUAAUUCACCGCCGCCGCCCUGUAACAGGUCUCUGGACGCGGCCCGCUCUGAUCACGGCCUGCAGCUCACUUAAGUUUCUACCGGCGCCGGUUGCGCUGCAUCUAUGCGAGAGGAAGGGGUGAGGAAGAAGAGGAAGAACCUGCGUGACGUGCAGCCCGGCUCGACGGCAGACGGUUUAUGUUGGACAAGCAUGAUGUAGCCACAGAGCCGCAGAGUUAGGUUAGCAGUGGUUGUGCAUGCGUGUACGGGCUGACUAGCGGCAGAAUAAAUGCUUUUUGAAAGGGGUGAAGGAGUCGUGCCUUUGUGGAACAGCAGUGGUGCUCUGCUGGAAGCGCUGUAAAACGCAGAAAUCACGGAGGGUCCUACUUCGUUUCCUAUUAAAUCGCUCUGAUGCAGCCGUUGCCUGCCAGUGCUAAU
rnacentral:misc_RNA from 1 species